rnacentral:rRNA from 1 species
UAGACGGGGAUAACCGGGCAAACUGGGUAUAAUACCCGAUUAGAUCUCGACUGCUGGAAUGCAUCGAGAUCCAAAGCUCCGGCGCUCAAGGAUGGGUCUGCGGCCUAUCAGGUAGUAGUGGGUGUAGCGUACCUACUAGCCUACGACGGGUACGGGUUGUGAGAGCAAGAGCCCGGAGAUGGAUUCUGAGACACGAAUCCAGGCCCUACGGGGUGCAGCAGGCGCGAAAACUUUACAAUGCUGGAAACAGCGAUAAGGGGACCUCGAGUGCCAGGUUACAAAUCUGGCUGUCGUGAUGCCUAAAAAGCAUUGCAUAGCAAGGGCCGGGCAAGACCGGUGCCAGCCGCCGCGGUAACACCGGCGGCUCGAGUGGUAACCGUUAUUAUUGGGUCUAAAGGGUCUGUAGCCGGCCGGAUAAGUCUCUUGGGAAAUCUGGCAGCUUAACUGUCAGGCUUUCAGGAGAUACUGUCUGGCUCGAGGCCGGGAGAGGUGAGAGGUACUUCAGGGGUAGGGGUGAAACCUUGUAAUCCUUGAAGGACCACCAGUGGCGAAGGCGUCUCACCAGAACGGACCUGACGGCAAGGGACGAAAGCUAGGGGCACGAACCGGAUUAGAUACCCGGGUAGUCCUAGCCGUAAACGAUACUCGCUAGGUGUCGGCCACGGUGCGACCGUUGUCGGUGCCGUAGGGAAGCCGUGAAGCGAGCCACCUGGGAAGUACGGCCGCAAGGCUGAAACUUAAAGGAAUUGGCGGGGGAGCACCACAACGGGUGGAGCUUGCGGUUUAAUUGGAUUCAACGCCGGAAAUCUUACCGGGACCGACAGCAAUAUGAAGGCCAGGCUGAAGACUUUGCCGGGUUAGCUGAGAGGUGGUGCAUGGCCGUCGUCAGUUCGUACUGUGAAGCAUCCUGUUAAGUCAGGCAACGAGCGAGACCCACGCCCACAGUUGCCAGCGUACUCUCCGGAGUGACGGGUACACUGUGGGGACCGCCGCUGCCAAAGCGGAGGAAGGAAUGGGCAACGGUAGGUCAGUAUGCCCCGAAUAUCCCGGGCUACACGCGAGCUACAAUGGUUGGUACAAUGGGUAUCUACCCCGAAAGGGGAUGGAAAUCUCCUAAAGCCAAUCUUAGUUCGGAUUGAGGGCUGCAACUCGCCCUCAUGAAGCUGGAAUCCGUAAGUAUUCGCGUUUCACCAGAA